rnacentral:rRNA from 1 species
ACCGGCGCACGGGUGAGUAACACGUAUGCAACCUGGCCGUGACAGAUGGAUAACCGGGAGAAAUCCCGCCUAAUACAACAUAAUGCCGGGAGGGGACAUCCCCUGCCGGUCAAAGGGGGCGACCCCGGUCAUGGAUGGGCAUGCGGCGCAUUAGGUAGUUGGUGGGGCAACGGCCCACCAAGCCGACGAUGCGUAGGGGUUCUGAGAGGAAGGUCCCCCACAUUGGAACUGAGACACGGUCCAAACUCCUACGGAAGGCAGCAG